UUGGUUUCAAUAUUAUAAUAGAAAGACAUAAGUGACAACAAUAAAUUUAUGGAAGUAGUUAUAUUAGUUUUAUCAGGAGACUUCAGGCAGACAUUUCCAGUCAUUCCAAGACAAACAAGAUCUGAUGAAAUAAAAGCAUGCAUUAAGUCUUCACACCUUUGGAAUAAAGUACACAGAUUCUACUUCAAUACUAACAUGUGAGCUUUAUUAGCUAGGGACCAAUGUGCAGAACAGUUUUCACCUGGCUCCUCCAAUUAGGAAAUGGGAAAGUUCCAUUUGAUGGGAAUUUGGCUCAUAUUGCUAUCAUAGUGAAUUCCCCCUGCUAAAUUGAAAAACAGGGUAUUUUCAGUCUUAAAUAAUGAUUAUAAUUUACAUAAAUGGUUGUGUGAAAGGGCAAUUCUUGCUCAAAAAGAUGAGACAGUAGCAAGGAUUAACCAUGAAUUAAUGAAUAGGAUUCCAACAGUCAUUAAGGAGUACGAAUCAGUUGAUUCAGACCAUGGAUGAAAAUCAAGCUGUCCAUGACCCAACAGUGUUCCUUAACUCUCUUGAGCCACCUGGAACUCUUCCACAUAAACUUUUUCUGGAGGUAGGAGUUCUAAUAAUACUAAGCAAUUUAGAUCCUUCCCCAAUUAUGUAAUGAAACAAGGUUGAUUGUGAAGACAUUAUCACCUACUGUGAAAGAAGCUACCAUCAUCACUGGUUGUGCCUUAGUGGGAGGAGGUUUUCAUUCCCAGAAUUCCAAUCAAACCAACAGACAUGCCAUUUGAGUUCAAACAAACUCAAUUCCCAGUGUGACUUUGCUUUGCAAUGUCUAUUAAUAAAGCUCAACGUCAGACUUUGAAACCUAUUAGCACUUAAUUGAGCUCUGCUUUUCUCAUGGUCAACUUUACGUUGAGCUCCAGGGGUUGAUAGUUUGCAAGACUUAUUUGUCUAUACUCCAAACCAGAAAACAAAGAAUAUUGUUUACCCAGAAGCUCUUAGAUAAUUUCCUUCAACAUGUGAUAGAAUUUAUCUCCCUUCAUAAAAGUGGUUAAAUUUUGUAUUUUCGUUUAUUAUUAUUUUGUAUUAUGAAUUCAGAACUGAUUUACCAGUUGAAGAAUAAAUUGUAUCCUAAUAACAAAUUUCUAUACGACAUAUCAAAAUAAGUAUAUAAGGAACAAUUUCAUUCC